AUGGCUGCGUGUGCAUGGCUGUGCAUGGCUGUGUGUGCAUGGCUGUGUGUGCAUGGCUGUGCAUGGCAGUGCACAGCGGUGUGUGUGCAUGGCUUUGUGUGCGUGUGCAUGGCUGUGCCUGACUGCAUGGCUGGGUGUGUGUGCAUGGCUCUGCAUGGCCGUGCGUGGCUGUGUGUGCAUGCAUGGCUGUGCACACGUGUCUGUAUGUCUGCAUGGCUGCAAGCACGCAUGUGUCUGUACUCUGGCAGGCAUGUACACGCGUGUGCGUGUGUGAGUGUGUGUGUGUGUGAGUGUGUUCUGCAGGAAAAGGGCGCGCUGCUCUCCGGGCUGCACACAGCCGCACUUCAGCUCUGCACGGGGCUGCAAAGCUGCAGGGCCGCCCGUGGCAACGCCAGCAGCAUCCCAGCAGUGCAGCACAGCGAUCCCACAGCUGUGGGGCCGCCCCACACCCCAUCCCCAUCCCCACACCUCAUCCCCAUCCCCGAGGCGCGGCUCUGGCCGCCCGCCCACCCCCACCAUGUGCGAUGUGACCGCGGAUGCCCCCCUCCGUUCCGGUGCUUUCCAUCGCCCCGCCGUUCCCGUGGGAAGCUCUCAGGGGGUGAUGGGAAAGGAGAGACGCCGUCCGUCCGGGUUUGGGGACCCCCCCCCCCAUCUGGGGGUCCCCCCCGCCCCGAGUGGGGACCGCACCGCGCUGCGCUCCUCCUGCGCUUCCUGCGCCCGCCUCAAUGGCCGGAAAGCGCUGCCUCAGCCCCGGGGAAGCGCACGCGGGCGUCACCCUCCGCCCAUCUCUUCCCCUCCUCUUCCCCUCCUGAUGGCUCUGCGGAGCCGAGAGCGCGCUGCUAUGGGGCACGGCCGCGCACCAGCAGCAGGGCGCUGCUUUGGCUGCAAGAAAUGGGAUGCAGCGUGCGCACCGUGCGGCACGGGGUGUGUGCGUGCAGCACUGCACGAGCAGCACGAGGGGUGGAGGGUGCAGCGUGCAACCGGCGAGCAGCACAAAGAGGCUGCCAUGUGAGCAGCACGAGGAGUGUGCCACAUGCGCCCAAUGAGCAGCACCAGGGGUGUGCCACAUGCACCCUGUGA
rnacentral:lncRNA from 1 species